GUUGGAAAUCUCGCGAUGGAGGGAGGAGGAGGUAUACCCCUAGAAACACUUAAAGAAGAAAGUCAGUCAAGACAUGUUCUACCUGCAAGUUUUGAAGUCAACAGUUUGCAGAAAAGCAACUGGGGGUUCUUACUUACUGGGCUUGUGGGUGGCACCCUGGUGGCUGUGUACGCUGUAGCCACGCCGUUUGUAACGCCAGCCCUUCGAAAAGUCUGUUUGCCGUUUGUACCUGCAACUACGAAGCAGAUUGAAAAUGUUGUGAAAAUGUUGCGAUGCCGAAGAGGAUCCCUUGUGGACAUCGGUAGUGGGGACGGACGCAUUGUUAUUUUUAUUGCAUAUUAUUACUUGUUCACAAAACCAUCCUCCCAGACACUUUCAUUUCACUGCUGCUGUGCUAGCCCACUGAUGGAGAGAUGCAGUGGAUUUUCAGCAAUGUUUUGUUCGACCUCCCCGGGGGUUGGCUGACCUAGAAUCAAUUAUGGAGGUGUUCCAAGUGAACCUGAAUGUCUAUUCUGAUACUUGAGGUCAUAGCGGCUGCGAAGAAAGGGUUCACAGCAGUUGGUUAUGAAUUAAACCCAUGGCUAGUUUGGUAUUCCAGAUACCGCGCUUGGCGAGAAGGUGUGCAUGGAUCUGCCAAAUUUUAUAUUUCAGAUUUGUGGAAGGUUACUUUUUCGCAGUACUCGAACGUUGUUAUUUUCGGUGUGCCUCAGAUGAUGCUGCAGUUGGAGAAGAAACUUGAACGUGAACUUGAGGAUGAUGCACGAGUUAUUGCUUGCCGGUUCCCUUUCCCACAUUGGACUCCAGACCACGUCACGGGGGAGGGGAUAGACACAGUGUGGGCAUAUGAUGCAAGCACUUUUAGAGGCCGUGAAAAGAGGCCCUGUACAUCGAUGCAUUUCCAGCUGCCCAUUCAAGCAUAAACUUGACUGGGAGUGUUUUUCUGAAAUAUUGUAGUCUUCCCUGAUCUUGUAGAGACUUACAGCUGUGUCCUUAGCAAAGGAGCAUAAUUGUCUUUGGUUUGGAAUGAGAAAUUACUAUUACUUUCCUUAACUGUUGGAGAAAACAAACGAAGAAAAACAGGUAGAUUUAAAAUCUGCUUUUGAUGCUAUUUUCUUAAAAAUUGUACUUACUGCCUUUCCAUGCACCUGGAUGCAUGAAAAGAUGAAUAAGUGAUGGUCAUGGUUAUGGGUAGGAAAAUAAGAUGCCAAUAGCUCUUCACAUUAUAAACAAUAUGGCUUAAUGCCUCGAUAAGGAGAAAUGAUUUUUAAAGACAGUAUAUAUUACCAACUGUUUGUAGUAUCCUAUAACUUUGUUCAUACUUAAGUUGUAUCUCUUUCCUUUUUGUACUUCAUGGCAAAAUUAAUUUUCUAAAGGAUUCAGAGAGGCGUUUAUAUUUUAUAACAUUUAUUAGAAAUAAUUUGUUCCACCACUAGAUUACUGUAUUUUAUGGAAUCUAAGCUGUAUAUGUGUACAUUUGUAUACAUGUAUGUGUAAAUGUAAGCCUGACGUGGGUUCAGAUUCCAGUUUUGUCAUCAGCAAGAGGCCUCGGACCCAUGACUUACUGCCUCUGAGCCUUGGCUUUCUGUGUAUCUCUGCCACUGGGAUAAUGGUACACAUAACAGUGGAGUGGGGACCAAUUUCUAAAACUCAUGGCACCUAGUCUUUGGUCCAUAAAUGGUGUUUGUUAUUUUAGACACUGAGAAAAAUCUUAUUCACAGAAGUUGCAGAUUAUUUCUGCUAGUCACUUUUUUAUUUCUUGAGAGCUGCCACUCAUUUAAUAUUUCUCAUUUAUGAGAAGAGACUUGACUGAUUUAGAUAAAAGACGAAUUAAGGAAAACCUUUGAACGUGAGUAGACAAGCUUCAUAUAUCUGUAAAGUGAAUAUUGAAUGGUAGCUUGAGUCAUUCGUACUUAUCACAGAAAAGAAUUGAACUCCCAGUCAUACACCUGUAACUGAAAUACCAAACUGUCUUAAUGGAGAUGUAAUGAAGUAAGAUGGUCACAUCUUUAACUAAACUUAUAAAAAUUGGUCAGUUUGAUCAUUUUCAUUUAAAUGAGAAACAUCUGGGGACACAUUCAUUCAUUCAACAAAUAUGUAUUCAGUAUCUACUGUAGAAGAAGCUCUGAGAUUCUGCGGUAAAUAGACAUGCAAAGCCCCUGGCCUCAUGGAAUUCCUAUUCUGGAAAGGAGAGACAAACAAAUAAGCAAGGGAAUCUUAGUGUGUGUGGAGUUCUCUGAAGUAAACAGUGUGAUGGUGUAGAGAGCACCUGUGUGAGUCUGAGAUGAGGGGAUGUGAUGUUGUGGACUUCAGCCAGGUUUUUGGCAGCUAGUGUCUGUCCCUUUUUCAGUAGCUCCAGUCUUCUUAUGAAGAAUGAGUUCUUUCUGUGGUGUGUGACUUUAGUGGGAGGGCAGCUCUUGCUCUAUGCCUCUCAGUUGCCUUCCACUGUAACCAGUCCUGUAACUGGUCUGGGCACACUCGGAGGGGGAUCCAUGGUAGCUCCUUGCCAUGAAGAUGUGGGUAGAGGAGGGUUCUGUGGGGCCUCGGAGGUGUUCAACAUUUUCUAGAAGUGUUCCUGGUGGGUUUAUAGAGGCAUUGAUAUGGUUUGGCUGUGUCCCUACCCAAAUCUCAUCUUGAAUUCCCACGUGUUGUGGGAAGGACCUGGUGGGAGGUGAUUGAAUUAUGGGGGCAGGUCUUUCCUGUGCUGUUCUCAUGAUAGUGAGUAAGUUUAAUGAGAUCUGAUGGUUAUUUUAGGGGGGAGUUUUCCUGCACAAGCUCUUUUUGCCUACUACCAUUCACGUAAGAUAUUCCAGCCACAUGGAACUGUAAGUCCAAUUAAAGCUCUUUCUUUUGUAAA